AGUGAACGCUGGCGGUAGGCCUAACACAUGCCAGUCGAACGGCAGCACAGUAAGAGCUUGCUCUUACGGGUGGCGAGUGGCGGACGGGUGAGGAAUACAUCGGAAUCUACUUUUUCGUGGGGGAUAACGUAGGGAAACUUACGCUAAUACCGCAUACGACCUACGGGUGAAAGCAGGGGAUCUUCGGACCUUGCGCGAUUGAAUGAGCCGAUGUCGGAUUAGCUAGUUGGCGGGGUAAAGGCCCACCAAGGCGACGAUCCGUAGCUGGUCUGAGAGGAUGAUCAGCCACACUGGAACUGAGACACGGUCCAGACUCCUACGGGAGGCAGCAGUGGGGAAUAUUGGACAAUGGGCGCAAGCCUGAUCCAGCCAUACCGCGUGGGUGAAGAAGGCCUUCGGGUUGUAAAGCCCUUUUGUUGGGAAAGAAAAGCAGCAGGUUAAUACCCCGCUGUUCUGACGGUACCCAAAGAAUAAGCACCAGCUAACUUCGU
rnacentral:rRNA from 1 species